AGUAACUUACCCAUGAUGGAACAGCAGGCAAGUGGCAGAGCUGGGGGACAGUGUGGCUGUCUCAGGAGGACACCCCUUAAAUGGUCCUCCUCACCUGGGAGACGAAGCUCCCCACCUCUGAGGGCGGGUCAUUCUUGCUGUCUCCUGCCACAUAGCCCCGCCUGAUGUCCUUCACCGACACGUUCUUCACAUUGAAGCCCACAUUGUCACCGGGCAGGGCCUCAGCCAGGGCCUCGUGGUGCAUCUCUACAGACUUGACCUCCGUGGUGAUAUUGCAGGGGGCAAAGGUCACCACCAUGCCGGGCCUGAGGAAGCCUGUUUCUACCCGGCCCACGGGCACAGUGCCGAUGCCUGGGGGACAGAGCAACCACAGCUGUCAGCAGCCAGACCUCCACGAGCCCCCAACCCCAAGCACCCCUAACACAGCAUGUACUCACCCCCAAUCUUAUAUACGUCCUGCAGAGGCAGCCGCAGGGGCUUGUUCACAGGGCGGGCAGGGGGCAUGAUGGAGUCUAGCGCUUCUAGCAGGGUCAUGCCCACCAUGUUUCCUUCCUUCCUGGUGAUCUUCCAGCCUCUGAACCAGGACAUCUGGAAAAGCCACCAAAUGUGCAGCUCACUUAGGCUUGAGGGAGCCUGUCCCAGGUGCCAAACUGGUUUUAACAUGAGACUUCAAGCAAUUUUUUAAUGCAUUUUGAGCCUCAGCUUCCUCAUCUAUGAAACGUAUCCCCACCUACCAUGCAGGCUCAAGUAAAACACAAAAGGCCACAUGCAAUCCACCAAGCACAAUGUUCGACAUGUACUAAACACCCACUAAGUGGUGGCCAUUCCUCUAAAUCUUGUAGUUGUUGCCCAACUUGAGCCAAUAUUUUUAGGAAGCAGAGAUUCCUAGAGUCUGAUUAGCUCUUGGUCUCAUUCUAUCUUGUCAUUCCACAGAUGGGGAAACAAAGGAGCAGAAAAAACAUACAGCAGAGUUAAGUAAGCAUCAGGAGCGAGAAUGAAGAUACAACUCAAAUACUCUAACACUUACACCUUCUGAACACUAGAUAUUCCCCAACAUCUUAGGCCAGGAGAGCGUUAUUGAGUGUGAGGCCUUCUAAAAGGAUAACUAAGUAUGACAGUACAUCGUAUGCAUGCCUUUUAAGCAGACACUAUUUACUUCUCUAAAAACCCUCGCCAAAGCUCAUCAGAAACGUCAUCUUUGCCUUCAGAGAUGUAUCAGUUAACUGGAAAUCCAGGACAGAGGAGGUACAGAAAGAGCCAAGGAGGUUGAUGUGAAAGGCCAAGUGAGCAGCCAGCCAUCAAGCGGCAGAGCUGAUCAGCAUGUGGCCUUAGCUCAGGCCGAAGGCAAACUGGUGGAAUCCCAGUCACAUUUCUCCUUUCCAGUCAUAGACCCUUGAGAAAAUCCCUAGGCUUUGGAAUCUCAGUCUACCAUCAGUGUCAAAGCAAUAGCAGCCCUUACCUAUUGAUUAAAGGCAGGACAUGGGAGAGGUGCCCUGGCCUUGGAAUCACACACAACAAUCUCUCAGUCCUUAGUGAGACUCUCAGAAGAGAGAGGAGCAGGGACUGCCGGGGGUGAAAGGGUCGGUAAGGGGGAUCAGGGAUGGCUUUGGUGGGUAGGGAAGAAGGCUCCAGUCAGGUAAGCCCUCUUCUGUGAGGGAGAAGCAGAGCUAUGCAGCACAGAAGCCACACAGAACACGUCUGGCCUAAUGGACUAAAAAAUGGGUGACUCAAGGAAUAAAGCUAUAAUUUCUAUUAAUACUCAACUCUAGUAAGCAGGGGGCGUGGGGUGGAAGGGAAGCAGGAGGCUUUGAAGAACUGUAAUAAGCAUUUUUAUAUAAAUAAUUCAAACGUAAAAAAAAAAAAGAACAUUUCCUCUUUUUACAGAGGAAUAAUUGAGGAUCAAAAGUAGGUUGCCCAAUGCCCAAACAAGAAGUUGAUAAGAAGGCCAACGCCCCACUCAAACAGAACCUCAUUGUGAGGAUAAUCUCUUCUAUUAGUUUGAUGAACUUGGACACUAACUUGGCUCUAUGCCAACUCAGAGGCCUGCAUAAUAAGCCUAGGAGGUCAGCAUCACCCCCCAUCUUAAAAAUGGGGAAACUGAUGUCUCCAAUGUCACAGGUAUUUCUUGAGAGUGGAGGCUAAAUCCUAGAUCUACUGUCUAGUCCACUGACUGCAUGUUUUGUUCUUUUAGCAUCUAGAACAUACUAGAUGUCCAAUAAAUGCCCGAAGGGACAAGAAGAUAAAAUCCCCUUAUUUCACUAGCUGAACUAUGUGCUGAUACUUGGGGAAUGGGCAUCAAAGCUUUAGGUUUCUGUUCUAUGGUCAUUUUAGAAGAGCCCGCCUUCACCACCCAAUAUAGAAGAACUCUCUCAUACCAUGCCCCCCUCAUCCUUAAGUUUUUCUUAGCAUUUGUCAUCAUCCACUAUAUCACCACCCCCCUGUCUGUCCCACCCAAGACCCAAGACUGCAGUGCCACGAGCGGGGCUGGGUCUCAUUCCCCACCACACCCUCAGCACCAAGGACAGUGCCCAGCAUGCAAAUGUUGAAGUACCAUCCAAGUGAACACACUGCCAAUGGUAGUUCUAAUCUUUCCUAAGGACGGUUGGGCAAUAUGUGUCAGAAGACUCUGAAAUAAUGCCUACCCUUUGUUUCAGUAGGAAUUUAUUCUAAUUAAAUUAUCGAGGACACAUGCAAAGAUUUAUUUACCAAGAUGAUUAUGGUGGUUUUUAACAAAACAAGAAACCAUAUUCUUGGAAGCUGGUGACCUUGGGCUAUUAUUUAACUACACUGUGUCCCAGUUUUCUUAUUUUACAUGGGAAUAAAAUGCGCUCUUCAUGG